AGUCGAACGGACGAGGAGGAGCUUGCUUCUCCAAGUCAGUGGCGGACGGGUGAGUAACGCGUGAGUAACCUGCCCUUCAGAGGGGGAUAACGUCUGGAAACGGACGCUAAUACCGCAUGACAUAUUUCCAUCGCAUGGUGGAGAUAUCAAAGGAGCAAUCCGCUGAAGGAUGGACUCGCGUCCGAUUAGAUAGUUGGCGGGGUAACGGCCCACCAAGUCGACGAUCGGUAGCCGGACUGAGAGGUUGAACGGCCACAUUGGGACUGAGACACGGCCCAGACUCCUACGGGAGGCAGCAGUGGGGGAUAUUGCACAAUGGGCGAAAGCCUGAUGCAGCAACGCCGCGUGAGGGAAGACGGUUUUCGGAUUGUAAACCUCUGUUCUAAGUGACGAACAAAUGACGGUAGCUUAGGAGAAAGCCCCGGCUAACUACGUGCCAGCAGCCGCGGUAAUACGUAGGGGGCAAGCGUUGUCCGGAAUUACUGGGUGUAAAGGGAGCGCAGGCGGAGAAGCAAGUCAGUGGUGAAAACGAUGGGCUUAACUCAUCGACUGCCAUUGAAACUGUUUCCCUUGAGUGAAGUAGAGGCAGGCGGAAUUCCGAGUGUAGCGGUGAAAUGCGUAGAUAUUCGGAG
rnacentral:rRNA from 1 species